rnacentral:lncRNA from 1 species
UACACAUGAUGUCAUAACAUUGUAUUAUGACUUCCUGAAUGCUGAAGCCAGGGCCAAAAAUUAGAUUCAACACAGAUGGACAAAAUACUGUUCUAGCUAUUGUCACUCCAUUUGGAAAUUUGUGAAAGAAAAAUUCAGAAGUCAAGAGUUUGGCCUAGAACUAGCAGACAAGCUUGCAAGGAAUUUGGGUAAAAUUGAACAUGAGGAAGGGAAAUUAGGGAUUUGGACUCUAGAGAAAUUAUGGAAAUUAAAAAGAAAAAAUAAAAGAAAUAAAAAU